rnacentral:snRNA from 1 species
GUGCCCGCUUCGGCAGCACAUAUACUAACAUUGAAACGAUACAGAGAAGAUUAGCAUGGACCCUGCGCAAGGAUGACACACAAAUUCGUGAAGCAUUCCAUAUUUUU